AUUGAACGCUGGCGGAAUGCUUUACACAUGCAAGUCGAACGGCAGCACGGGGCAACCUGGUGGCGAGUGGCGAACGGGUGAGUAAUACAUCGGAACGUGCCCAAUCGUGGGGGAUAACGUAGCGAAGUUACGCUAAUACCGCAUACGAUCUACGGAUGAAAGCGGGGGAUCGCAAGACCUCGCGCGAGUGGAGCGGCCGAUGUCAGAUUAGGUAGUUGGUGGGGUAAAGGCUCACCAAGCCAACGAUCUGUAGCUGGUCUGAGAGGACGACCAGCCACACUGGAACUGAGACACGGUCCAGACUCCUACGGGAGGCAGCAGUGGGGAAUUUUGGGACAAUGGGCGCAAGCCUGAUCCAGCCAUUCCGCGUGCAGGAUGAAAGGCCUUCGGGUU
rnacentral:rRNA from 1 species